AACGAACGUUGGCGGCGUGGAUUAGGCAUGCAAGUCGAACGCGAAUCCCUGGGCAACUGGGGAGGAGAGUGGCGAAAGGGGCAGUAAGGCGUGGGUAACCUACCCUCCGGGCCGGGAUAGCUUCGGGAAACUGAAGGUAAUACCGGGCGACGCAGCGAGAUCGCAUGGUCUUGCUGCCAAAGGUCCGCCGCCGGGGGAGGGGCUCACGUGGUAUUAGCUAGACGGCGGGGUAACGGCCCACCGUGGCAAAGAUGCCUAGCAGGUGUGAGAGCACGACCUGCGCCACGGGCACUGAGACACUGGCCAGACACCUACGGGUGGCUGCAGUCGAGGAUCUUCGGCAAUGGGCGCAAGCCUGACCGAGCGACGCCGCGUGUGCGAUGAAGGCCUUCGGGUUGUAAAGCACUGUCGAGGGGGAGGAAGCCGCAAGGUUGACCUAUCCCUGGAGGAAGCACGGGCUAAGUUCGUG
rnacentral:rRNA from 1 species